rnacentral:rRNA from 1 species
UUAGAUACCCCUGGUAGUCCACGCCGUAAACGAUUGGCACUUAGAUAUCGGGGAAUUCGAUGUCUUCGGUGUCUCAGUUAACGCGAUAAGUGCCCCGCAUGGGGAGUACGCCCGCAAGGGUGAAACUCAUAGGAAUUGACGGGGGCCUGCACAAGCGUUGGAGCAUGCGCUUUAAUUCGAUGCACUGCGUAGAACCUUACCUGGGUUUGACAUGGGACUGAANCUUCCCAGAGAUGGGAAGCAUUCCUUCGGGAACACUCCACACAGGUGCUGCAUGGUUGUCGUCAGCUCGUGUCGUGAGAUGUUGGGUUAAGUCCCGCAACGAGCGCAACCUGCGCCCUUAGUUGCCAUCAGGUAAUGCUGGGAACUCUAAGGGGACCGCCUGGUACAACCAGGCGCCAGGUGCGCAUGAUGUCAAAUCAUCAUGGCUCUUACGUCCAGGGCUAGACGCGUGCUACAAUGGUCGGUACAGAAGGAUGCCAAGUCGUGAGACUGAGCUAAUCCAUGAAACACGGCAUCAGUUCGGAUUGGAGUCUGCAAGUCGACUCCAUGAAGCUGGAUCGCUAGUA